ACGGAAGGCAGCAGUGAGGAAUAUUGGUCAAUGGGCGAGAGCCUGAACCAGCCAAGUAGCGUGCAGGAUGACGGCCCUAUGGGUUGUAAACUGCUUUUGUGCGGGAAUAACGUGCUCCACGUGUGGGGCAGUGCAUGUACCGUACGAAUAAGGAUCGGCUAACUCCGUGCCAGCAGCCGCGGUAAUACGGAGGAUCCGAGCGUUAUCCGGAUUUAUUGGGUUUAAAGGGAGCGUAGGCGGAAGGUCAAGUCAGCUGUGAAAUGUAGUCGCUCAACGUCUGCACUGCAGUUGAAACUGGCCUCCUUGAGUGCGUAAGAGGCAGGCGGAAUUCGUCGUGUAGCGGUGAAAUGCUUAGAUAUGACGAAGAACUCCGAUUGCGAAGGCAGCUCGCUGGGCCGCAACUGACGCUGAAGCUCGAAGGUGCGGGUAUCAAACAGGAUUAGAUACCCUGGUA
rnacentral:rRNA from 1 species